AGCGAACGCUGGCGGCAGGCUUAACACAUGCAAGUCGAACGGUCCUUCGGGGUAGUGACGGACGGGUGAGUAACACGUGGGAACGUACCCUUAGGUUCGGAACAACACAGGGAAACUUGUGCUAAUACCGGAUAAGCCCUUCGGGGGAAAGAUUUAUCGCCUUUGGAGCGGCCCGCGUCUGAUUAGCUUGUUGGUGAGGUAAUGGCUCACCAAGGCUACGAUCAGUAGCUGGUCUGAGAGGAUGGCCAGCCACACUGGGACUGAGACACGGCCCAGACUCCUACGGGAGGCAGCAGUGGGGAAUCUUGCGCAAUGGGCGAAAGCCUGACGCAGCCAUGCCGCGUGGAUGAUGAAGGUCUUAGGAUUGUAAAAUCCUUUCACCGGGGACGAUAAUGACGGUACCCGGAGAAGAAGCCCCGGCUAACUUCGUGCCAGCAGCCGCGGUAA
rnacentral:rRNA from 1 species